GAGCCUACUUCGCAGUCGCAGGACGAGUGCUUUGGAGCCGGUCCCAGGCGGUGUGUGCCGGUCGCCUAGCCAGGAGAACUGGUCCUCGACUCACGGUGAGGGAAUGGACCGACACGGGGGUUGUACCGCUGAGGAAAAGGAGCGGGACUCCGGACCUCCAGGAGGUAGGGAGUGAGGCCAGUAGGACCGGCGCACCUCCGGGGGGAUUCCUUCCGGACGCUGAGUUGCCAACCUGAGACCCGAGGAAGUUCGGCACGAUGGUCUGCUUUUUGUUGUUGUUAACCUGCCUCGGAUUUCUCGAAGUUCACAACACUGUCCAUAUGCGAUGAUGUUUGUUUGCCCUUGACGCACUUAACUCAUGGAUGGUACUUCUUCAGCCUCGUUAGGCAGGCUGAUGAUAGAGGAUGAAGAAACCAUGUGUUUCUCAUUCAGUUCUGGACUCAGUCUCCGUUUUCUUCCUUCAGCAAGUUAUUUUUCUUAGUUCCUUAUCAAAAAUUGUACAUAAAAAUUAGGCAACUCCAAACAUGCCUCCAGGGUUGAUGUGUGAAAUAAUAAUAUAAUAUAUUAAAAUGGAAUUAGGUCCUAGGCAUAGGGCAAGUGCAGAAUAUUGCCGUGUUGUCAUUUACAGUUGUUGAUAUCGAUAAGGUUUGUGGGUGUAAUUGGUAGUGUUCUGUCCCUCCAACCUAAGCAACAAGAGUGAAACUCCCUCUGAGGAAAAAAAAAAAAGCCUUUGCAACCUCCAAAAUUCAAGUAGACAGUCCCAAAUUUCCCCUUUAGGAUAUGUGGACUAAGUGUUGUUUACUUGUUUUAUUUAAGGUAAAGAGGAAAGCAGCCUUAAUUACCUCAUUGUAUGUUUUCUUAACCAAGUCCCACACUUUCAUGGAGCCCACUUGUUUACCAAUCUUUUGUAGUUGCAUACGUGCAAGUGUAUUAUGCUACCAACAACUUUUUUUAUUUGAGAGCAGGGACUAUGUCUACUACUUAAUUUACAUAAAGCAUCACAGGCUAGUGCAAAGCAAGUCACAGAAAUAUUCAAAUGAGGCUGGGCAUGGUGGCUUACGCCUGUAAUCCCAGCACUUUGGGAGGCCAAGGUGGGUGGAUCACGAGGUCACAAGUUCAAGACCAGCCUAGCCAACAUAGUGAAACCCUGUCUACUAAAAUUACAAAAAAUUAGCCAGGUGUGGUGGCGGGCACCUGUAAUCCCAGCUACUCGGGAGGCUGAGGCAGGAGAAUCGCUUGAACCCGGGAGGCGGAGGUUGCAGUGAGUGGAGAUUGCACCACUGCAUUCUAUCCUGGGCAACAAUGCGAGACUGUCUUAAAAAGAAAAAAAAAAAUCCAAAAAAAAUUAGGUGGGCAUGGUGGAGCACCUGUAGUCCCAGCUACUUGGUAGGCUGAGGCAGUAGAGUCGCUUGAACCUAGGAGGGAGAGGUUGCAGUGAGUCAAGAUCACGUCUUUGCAGUCCAGCCUGGGCGACAAGAGCGAAACUCCGUCUCAAAAAAAAAAAA
rnacentral:lncRNA from 1 species